rnacentral:lncRNA from 1 species
ACCCGUAGUCGUAAAGGGCCGAGAGAACAAAUUCAUAACCUUAUACUUCUCAUGCAUGUAACUAUGACAACCCAAGGUUCUAACAAACAUAAUAUUAUGUAUCGAUGAGAAUAAUUACAUAGGCACGCACAAAAUUAUAUAUACAACACUUGGUCGUUGGGGCCACCACAUCCAAAGAAAAACACUACCAUAACUUUACAUUAGUCUACAAAGCCUCUAAAAGAUACAUAGACAUAGUUAGGGUCAGGACAAACCCCCGC